rnacentral:lncRNA from 1 species
GCUUUCCGGGUUCUCGGCUACUGGACUUCUUGAUCUUAUGUCUGAUGAUUAUGGUUAUGAUCAUGAUUAUGAAUCUGAUGAAGAAGAAGAAGAAGAAGAAGAAUACAAAGGAUAUGUUGUAGAAGAAAUUGUUAAUAUACAGAGUGAUGAUGAUGAUGAUGAUGAUGAUGAUGGUGGGGAAAAAGGAGAGGAUGUGUCUCAUGAUGAUAGUGAAAAGGAAGAAUAUGGGUCUCCUGUUGCUGCUGCUGAUGAUGAUGAUGGAAGGAUGAGUUUUUGUGAUGUGGGGGUGAUGAUGAUGAUGAUGGAUCAUGUGGAAGAAUUUGAUGAAGAAGGUUGGUGUUUGGUUGAAGAAAUGAUGACUUAAUUGAUCUAUUUGAUUUAUUCCCCCAAAAUAAUUGUAUUUCCUUUUGCUUUGUAAAUUGUUUUAAUAACUUUGGG